AAAGAAACCAACCGGGAUUGCCUCAGUAACGGCGAGUGAAGCGGCAAGAGCUCAAAUUUGAAAUCUGGCCCCCUCGGGGUCCGAGUUGUAAUUUGCAGAGGAUGCUUCGGGUGCGGCCCCCGUCUAAGUGCCCUGGAACGGGCCGUCAUAGAGGGUGAGAAUCCCGUCUGGGACGGGGUGUCCGCGUCCGUGUGAAGCUCCUUCGACGAGUCGAGUUGUUUGGGAAUGCAGCUCUAAAUGGGUGGUAAAUUUCAUCUAAAGCUAAAUACUGGCCGGAGACCGAUAGCGCACAAGUAGAGUGAUCGAAAGAUGAAAAGCACUUUGAAAAGAGAGUUAAAAAGCACGUGAAAUUGUUGAAAGGGAAGCGCUUGCGACCAGACUCGCCCGCGGGGUUCAGCCGGCAUUCGUGCCGGUGUACUUCCCCGUGGGCGGGCCAGCGUCGGUUUGGGCGGCAGGUCAAAGGCCCCCGGAAUGUAGUGCCCUUCGGGGCACCUUAUAGCCGGGGGUGCAAUGCUGCCAGCCUGGACCGAGGAACGCGCUUCGGCACGGACGCUGGCAUAAUGGUUGUAAACGAC
rnacentral:rRNA from 1 species